rnacentral:rRNA from 1 species
CCUACGGGGUGCUGCAGUGGGGAAUAUUGGACAAUGGGCGAAAGCCUGAUCCAGCCAUGCCGCGUGUGUGAAGAAGGCCUUCGGGUUGUAAAGCACUUUCAGUGGGGAAGAAAGCCUUGGGGCUAAUACCCUCGAGGAAGGACAUCACCCACAGAAGAAGCACCGGCUAACUCCGUGCCAGCAGCCGCGGUAAUACGGAGGGUGCGAGCGUUAAUCGGAAUUACUGGGCGUAAAGCGCGCGUAGGCGGUCUGAUAAGCCGGUUGUGAAAGCCCGGGGCUCAACCUGGGAACGGCAUCCGGAACUGUCAGGCUAGAGUGUAGGAGAGGAAGGUAGAAUUCCCGGUGUAGCGGUGAAAUGCGUAGAGAUCGGGAGGAAUACCAGUGGCGAAGGCGGCCUUCUGGACUGACACUGACGCUGAGGUGCGAAAGCGUGGGUAGCAAACAGGAUUAGAUACCCCAGUAGUC